ensembl:lncRNA
UACAAGCACAGGCCUGCGGACAAGCACAGACACCACUUAAGUAGUUGCCUCCUCACUACCACACAACAGCAAGAAAUCACUAAUCGCCACUCGCACCCUCUGAGGGGGUCUUUGGGCAUGCUGGGAUAAAAGAGCGUCUGGAGCAUCAGGACUGGCCUGGUCACAAGUCAGCUGCUUUAUCCCCAAAGCGAGCCCCACCCCACACAGGCAUCCUUGUGGUGAUAGGCAGCGCUCCCUUUGCCGUGUUUAUGAGUUUGCGGAUGACACAAAAGUGGUAGGCUUGAUUACCAACAACGACGAGACGGCCUACAGGGAGGAGGUGAGGGCCCUUGGAGUGUGGUGUCAGGAAAAUAACCUCACACUCAACGUCAAACAAAACUAAGUAGACGAUUGUGGACUUCAGGAAACAGCAGAGGGAACACCCCCCUAUCCACAUCGAUGGAACAGUAGUGGAGAGGGUAGCAAGUUUUAAGUUCCUCGGCAUACACAUCACAGACAAACUGAAUUGGUCCACUCACACAG